rnacentral:lncRNA from 1 species
AGCCCUCAUCAAAUGUUCUAGUGGGACUUCAUAUCAUACAUCAAGUUUGGUCUAACAUUUCUUAACAUUAAAACAUUUUAUAACGAUCAUGUACAAACGGGGAUUAACAUAACAUUAGGGCCAAGCACAAUGCUAAACCUCAUAAUAUUUUUACACAAUACUUUACAUUACAUUUUCAUUCAUGUCCACAGCUAUCUAUUACAAACAUGACACCUUUACUCUUGCUGACUUCUUGGUCUAUCCCGAACCUGCAAACCUAGGUGUUAAGGGAAAGGGGUGAGCUACUAGAGCCCAGUGAGCAGAAUAGUAAAACAAUAUAAAUUAAAAUCUAUGCUUUCAUGAAAUGCAUCACAUCACAAACAAAUCACAUCAAGGAUGGACUUGUCACCAAUAGCCCUCUACACAUUCCAAUGGUGCCAGGGGCGUAGAAUGGGUCUCACUGGCCUUUCUCUUAAUAUAACAUAACAUAACAUUCCAAUGUGCGAGGGGCGUAGAAUGAGCCUCACUGGUCUUUCUCUUACUCUGUGCCAGGGGCAUAGAAUGGGCCUUACUGGACUUUCAUACCGUAUCAUCGUCAUCAUCUCAUAUUGAGGACUAAUGGGUCAUCCAACAUCCAUCCACAUCAACAUCAUAGUAUGCAAUGCAACAUAUUCGUGAAUUCUAAUGCAAACAACCUAGUAUUUAUCAUGACAUUCGUGAUGCAUGAACAUGCUUUGAAAUUUAUUUGCUUUGAAUUAUAAAGUUCCAUUCUACUCACCUUAGGCUGACUCUGAACAGACUCUGGAGCAGCUACCUCACAGCUGGAAUCCUCGGUUCCUCGCUACACAGGUGGACUCAAAUGAGGGACCAACAUACACUAACAUGACUCUAAACAUUCCCCCAAAAAUCCCCAAAAACACCAUAAAAUAAUGGGUAAUUUACGUUUUAGUCCUGGGUAUUACCAUUAUUAACAAGUCAGUCCCUGUAUUUUUAGAAACCUAUUAAAACGUCCUUAUGUUUUAUUUCCGUCAACGAAAUAGUCCUUCCGUCCUAUUUUCCGUUAAAAUUAGAUAAAGGAGGAGAGAGAAAAUUUUUAAAAUCCAAUUUGACCCUCAAAUAAAACCAUUUAUUUAGUCCUUGUAUAUUACAAUUAUUAACAAGUUAGUCCUUACAUUUUCAAAAAUCUAUUAAAAUAUUUUUAUCUUAGAAGAAGAAGAAGAAGAAGAAGAAGAAGAAGAAUUGAUGAAGAAGAAAAGGAAGGAGGAGGAGAAGGAGAAAAAUAAUGGGGGGGUAAUAUAGUCUUUUACUAUAUUUUUAACGGCAAAAAUAGACAGAAGGACUAUUUCGUUGACGGAGAUAAAACAUAAGGACGUUUUAAUAGGUUUCUAAAAAUACAGGGACUGACUUGUUAAUAAUGGUAAUACCCUGGGACUAAAUCGUAAAUUACCCUAAAAUAAUCAUAGAAAGCAUGCAAAGGAAGGCUGAACAGGGCACUUUCGGCGGCAGGUUCGGCGGCCAAAAGUCCCUCCAGAGCCGAAACUCAGUCACCUUCAACGGCAGUUUCGGCGGCCGAAAGUCCCCUCUAGAGCUGAAAGUCCAAACUUUCGGGGGCAGGGUUCGGCAGCCAAAACUGCCUCCUCAGACAGGUUCGGCCGCCGAACAUGGUUUCGGCUGCCGAACCUGAGUUCUUCCAGAAUGGCAGAACUCGAGCUCCUCUCCCACAAUCAGCCAACCAAACUUCAAAACUCAAACCAAAUCACCCAAAUUCAUGCAUAAGCACACCCUCAAGCAUUUUGGGGCUUAGAACUAACCUAUACCCCAAAAACAACUCAUUUUGACAUACAAUAACAUACAUUUCAUCAAUUAACUCACAUAAACCCUAACAUUUACAACUAACCUAAUCAUGCAUUACAACUCCCUAAAACCCCUCAAAACUUACAUAAAACAUCAAAGAAGGCUAGGAUCCCCACUUACUUAUAACUCUAUAGGGAGAAGAUUGAGAUCCAUCAUUAUGGAAAAAUGAAUGAAAAUAAUUGCAAGAUUGCAAAGAUCAUCCCAGUCCUCAAUCUAAUUAUCUUAGUCAUUUUUCAAAAUCUCAAUUUUGUUUCUUUUCCUUCUAGAUAAAAUUUUGGCAUGGAAAUAAGCUGUGUUUUUGUCUUCCCAAUGAAUCCACUCCACUCUGGCUUUUUGGUACAAAAUAUUUCUUCUCUGAGUAUAAUUGAGUCAAGCUCGUUCCAAAGAUCAAGUUCCAAAUUGUAACGACCCGAAAUCGGACCGCUACCGGCGCUAGGAUCCAGAUCGACCUAAGGUCGCCGGGACCCUUAGCAAGCCUAACUUACAACCUGUCAUACCUGAUAAUCCCAUACAUGAUCAUACAUUUACAUAAAACUUUAAACUUUUUUAUUCACCAAACUUAAUAUGUGCAUGCAUUAUAACCAUAACAUAAACCCCACACAAGAGCCCUCAUCAGAUGUUGACUCGCGGUUGUCGAGGCCGGUCAAAAAUAACCUUUCUGGUUAUCAACAAUUUUACAACUGCAGAUAGUGGUGAAAGGAUCGAAUCCACAGAGAAUUGAUUACCUAUUUAUUUUACUCAACAAGACCAAUAAAAUAAACUGAAACAAUAAUAAAUUAAAGAUGAGAUAAAAGACUGAAAGUGGGAUCAAAUGAGAUAAACUGGAAGCAAAAUAAAAAUAAAUUGCAAUAAAAGUAAAAUGGGGGGUUUGAGAUUGAUUGUAGUAACUAAUAACGAGAGUAAUAAUAGAAAGCAAAUAAUUAAAAUAAAAGGGUAAAUCAAUAUGAGAAAAGCCUAGUUGAAGAUAUGGAUCCACUUUGGUUGUUUGGGUUGAUCAUUGAAACUUAAAUUAUCUUGAUUGGUUCAAUAGAUUAGUUAUGGGGGUGGAAGACGCUUCUCACCACCAUUUCUCUCCUUAUGAUUAAAUUAAUUAGGGAACGUCCUCUAAUUAAUUACUAAUUAACAAAUUGCCAAGGAACGUCCUUGGGCCAUAGGCAUCAAAACAAUUGUCAAUUGCAUAAAGAAAUAGAGAGAUCCAAUCCUAGCUACCCAAACGUAUGGAGAUAACGCUAGAUCAUGCAAUUCCUUGGUUUUUACGCCAAGUGUUCUAAGGUCAGAAUAUUUCCAGCAAUUACGGACUAAAAAUAAUCCCAACUAACAAUCAAUUAACUUUGCAAUUAAAAUCAAGUGGCCAAUUUGAUCAAAACAACAAAGUAAUCAUGUAAUUAAAGCAUCAAUUGCAUAAAUAUUGAACAAAAUCAAAGACAAUAAUUUAUGUUCAGAUCUCACAAUCUAUUAAACAACCUUAGUUUCAACCAAUCCUCAACUAGAAUUAAAGAAAUCAGCCACUCAUUGGCUGAAUUAAAAACAGAAAAUUAAAAGGAAAAGAAAAAAGAACCGGGGAGGACGAUUUCUGCCUUCUGCCUUCUUGCGGAAGUUGCUGAUUUGAGGAAUCAAAUUGUUAAUUGUCUGGCCGCUUAAAGCUCUUUAAAUAGAGCUGGAGAGGUGCACUAAUUAGGAAACACCGACGCUGUCCACUGUGCGCGUGUGUCGCUGAGGUACGCUGGUCUUGCGCGAGAAUUGAUGGACGGGUCCAUGGUUGCAAGGGCUGUCCGCGUGCUGGAGUCCGUGUGCGUGGGUGACUGGCUCACGGUGGGGUGAGUUUGGCGGGGCUCAGGUGCAAAUGAAGGAGCGGGAAUGUAUUUGGCGGCCACUUUGCGGAUCCAUGAUGAAGUGGGCGGUGAAGGAACCUUGGUGGGGCCCAUGUCGCGCUUGGCCCAUGUGCGUGGCUCCAUUGCGCGCUUGGCCCAAGGUGAAGGAGUGCGCGGGCCCAUGUGUGCGCUUGGAAGUGUGUGAGUGCCCACGUGAAGUGGCUGGUCCUUGUGUGGGAGCUUGGGCCGCGGUGAAUGUGAGUGAUGAGAUGCACAGGUCCACGUGCAGAUGUUGAUGAGGCGGUCCAUUGUGUGAAGGUUCUUUGCAAGAGUGGGCUAUGUGCUGACCAUGUGAGGAUAGCUUGGUGUGAAUUGAUCCAUACGCUGGAGCUGGGUCAUGUGCUGGAGAUUGAUUCGGCGGGGCCCAUGUGAGGAAUGUGCAGUUUAUGUGAAGCGCUGCGCGGACUGCUGGACUUGGAGCGAGCUUGGUGGACUGUCCAAGCUUGAAUGUGUGGAUCCAUGGGCUGUCCAUAAGCGGCCCAAGUGCUUGAAUAUUAAGCUUCAAAAUAUUUUUCCCAUAUUUGACUUGAAUCUGGCUUGGCAGGAUUGCUCUCUUUUACUCCAAAUAAGGCAGUUUUAGGGGGAUUUUCUACAAAUUGUCCUUUUACACUAUUUUCUGCAAAAUAAUAUUUAAAGUAAUAAAUUAAGCAGAAAUCAUGUAAAUAUUCAUUAAUAAUAUUAAUAUAAAAUGGACUAAAUUAUGCUCUAUCAGAUGUUCUAGUGGGACAUCAUAUCAUACAUCAAGUUUGGUCUAACAUUUCUUAACAUUAAAACAUUUUAUAACGAUCAUGUACAAACGGGGAUUAACAUAACAUUAGGGUCAAACACAAUGCUAAACCUCAUAAUAUUUUUACACAAUACUUUACAUUACAUUUUCAUUUAUGUCCACAGCUAUCUAUUACAAACAUGACACCUUUACUCUUGCUGACUUCUUGGUCUAUC